AUUGAACGCUGGCGGCAGGCCUAACACAUGCAAGUCGGACGGUAGCACAGAGGAGCUUGCUCCUUGGGUGACGAGUGGCGGACGGGUGAGUAAUGUCUGGGGAUCUGCCCGAUAGAGGGGGAUAACCACUGGAAACGGUGGCUAAUACCGCAUAACGUCGCAAGACCAAAGAGGGGGACCUUCGGGCCUCUCACUAUCGGAUGAACCCAGAUGGGAUUAGCUAGUAGGCGGGGUAAUGGCCCACCUAGGCGACGAUCCCUAGCUGGUCUGAGAGGAUGACCAGCCAGACUGAAAGUGGGCCACGGGCCAGACUCCUACGGGAGGCAGCAGUGGGGAAUAUUGCACAAUGGGCGCAAGCCUGAUGCAGCCAUGCCGCGUGUAUGAAGAAGGCCUUCGGGUUGUAAAGUACUUUCAGCGGGGAGGAAGGCGGUGAGGUUAAUAACCUUGCCGAUUGACGUUACCCGCAGAAGAAGCACCGGCUAACUCCGUGCCAGCCGCCGCGGUAA
rnacentral:rRNA from 1 species